rnacentral:rRNA from 1 species
UACGUAGGGGGCAAGCGUUGUCCGGAAUCAUUGGGCGUAAAGAGCGUGUAGGCGGCCAGAAAAGUCCGCUGUGAAAACUCGAGGCUCAACUUCGAGCUGUCGGUGGAAACUUUCUGGCUAGAGUCCGGAAGAGGAGAAUGGAAUUCCUGGUGUAGCGGUGAAAUGCGUAGAUAUCGAGAGGAACACCUGCGGCGAAGGCGGGUUGCUGGGCUGACACUGACGCUGAGGCGCGAAAGCUAGGGAGCGAACGGG